GAUGAACGCUGGCGGCGUGCUUAACACAUGCAAGUCGAACGGAAAGGCCCUUCCUUGGAGGGGUGCUCGAGUGGCGAACGGGUGAGUAACACGUGGGUGACCUGCCCUGCACUUUGGGAUAACCCUGGGAAACUGGGUCUAAUACCGGAUAGGAGCAUGUGCUGCAUGCUGUGGUGGAGAAAGUUUCGGUGGGGGGGGAUCUCCCCGCGUCUUAUCAGCUUGUUGGUGGGGUAGUGGCCUACCGAGGGAUGGAGGGGUCGCCGGGCUGAGAAGGUGACCGGCCACAUUGGGACUGAGAGACGGCCCAGACUACUACGGGAGGCAGCAGGGGGGAAUAGUGGACAAUGGGCGGAAGCCUGAUGCAGCAACGCCGAGUGGGGGAUGACGGCCUUCGGGUUGUAAACAGCUUUCGCUAGGGACGAAGCGUAAGUGACGGUACCUGGUAAAGAAGCACCGGCUAACUACGUG
rnacentral:rRNA from 1 species